rnacentral:rRNA from 1 species
UACGUAGGGUGCAAGCGUUGUCCGGAAUUACUGGGCGUAAAGCGUGCGCAGGCGGUUUUGUAAGCCAGAUGUGAAAUCCCCGGGCUUAACCUGGGAAUGGCAUUUGGGACUGCAAGGCUUGAGUGCGGCAGAGGAGACUGGAAUUCCCGGUGUAGUAGUGAAAUACGUAGAUAUCGGGAAGAACACCUGAGGCGAAGGCGGCUAUCUGGCGGUGCACUGACGCUGAGGCGCGAAAGCGUGGGGAGCAAACAGG